UCGGGAAUUUUGGGCAAUGGGCGAAAGCCUGACCCAGCAACGCCGCGUGAGGGAUGAAGGCCUUCGGGUCGUAAACCUCUGUCGGGAGGGACGAAAGGUAAACGGGUGAACAAUCCGAGUGCUUGACGGUACCUCCAAAGGAAGCGCCGGCUAACUCCGUGCCAGCAGCCGCGGUAAUACGGAGGGCGCAAGCGUUGUUCGGAAUCACUGGGCGUAAAGCGCGUGCAGGCGGCUUGGUAAGUCGGGUGUGAAAUCCCGGAGCUCAACUCCGGAACUGCACCCGAUACUGCCUCGCUAGAGUCCCGGAGAGGAUGGCGGAAUUUCCGGUGUAGAGGUGAAAUUCGUAGAUAUCGGAAGGAACACCAGCGGCGAAGGCGGCCAUCUGGACGGUGACUGACGCUCAGACGCGAAAGCGUGGGGAGCAAACAGGAUUAGAUACCCUGGUAGUCCACGCUGUAAACGUUGGGUGCUAGGCGUCGUGGGUAUUGACCCCCGCGGUGCCGAAGCUAACGCAUU
rnacentral:rRNA from 1 species